CUUAUCUUUCCUAUUUUCAUACUUUUGUUAAUACGAAUUAUAAAUAAAGCCUUAGUUAAAUCGGCUAACCCUAGUUUUGAACGCAUUUUUUCCGACGCCUUCGAUUUUCAGUGAUUCAAUCUAUUUUCUUAUCAAUUUCCCCCUUCUUUAUUCAAUUUUCUGUAUUUUCUUGUUGCAGUUUAAGUUUUUUUUGGUGCUUUCUUACUUAUUUUUAGUACUCAAUUAACAUGGAGGUUGUGUCCUUCCUUCUUUCAGGACUGGUUUCUUGGAUUGAUAUCCUUCUUUCGUGAUUAAAAACUAAAUUAAGGAGGCAGGCUCAGUAAUUUAAGCGCAAAGGGUUUCCAAUCGACUACGGUCAAAUUUGUUCAGGCGAAUCUCAUCAAAUUGUGGCCUGAAGAAGUAAUAUCCCGCCGACUACCCUCUACAAUAGAGAUCUCGCUCGGUUUUUCUCUUGAUCGGUGCUUGACCUGCUUUAUCUUAAUUGAAAAGAUAUUCUUUUAAAAAAAAUUAAUCGCUUUGUUAAUUGGAAUUUUUCUUUUCUUGUGUUCGUGAUAUUUCUUGAAAAAUUGAAGACGUCUUUAUUCUAUUUUUUAUUUUUACGGUUUGGAAAGUUAGUUUGAAAAAAUUGUGCAAUUUAACUCCACCAUCUGGUAAAUCACAGGAAUUAUAUAGUUUUAAAUUCUUGACUUUAUUCUAUUUUCAAUGAUAGGCAUAAAUGGUUAUUCUUUUUCUCUCCCUGAAAUGACCGUGUUCUUUUUUUAUGUAUUCGGAGUAUAUGCUUUAGCUAAUUUUUUACGAGUUAUCAAUGUACUAACAAAUCAUUUGGAUCAAAAUUGUAAUUACACAACAGCCUAAAACUAAAAUGAGAAAUGUGGCCUGAAGCUAGUUUAAGGCUUUAGUUGAAGUUUAUGAAUUAUGCUAAAUUAAUCAUAGCUUCUUAAAUGGAAUUUGAACUAGUACUGUCAUACUGAACAAGUAUGGUUGUCUAUUGUUUGAAUAUUUUGGAUGCCUUAUCACCAAAUCUUUAAACUUUGAAAAUAAAGAUGCUAAAUUUGAAUGAAUCCGCGGUCUCUACUCUAUAGGCAACUUGCAAAGUCUUUACUUUGGUUUACUUGUUUAAAUUCAUAAAUCUUUCCAUUGAUUGAUGCUAAACACAAAAAAUCUCAAAACACGCGAGUUUGAAAUAUAAUUCUAGUAAUUUUUGUCUACCACAAAGUUUAGUCAGGGAGAAUAUGAAGUGUGUAUUUCUCACUGCUUCUAUGAUAGAGUGUUUUAGGUUAAGAAACCAAUGAUUAUACAUUGGGUUAAUAUGGAAUUUCCAUAUUCUUGAAAUUUUAUAGGAAGAUCUCUAGAAUAAAUUGGGUAUAUAGCUUCAUCAUGCUGGUUCUUUUGCUCAUAAAAAAUCGCGGCUGAUGAGGUAUAUGUUUUUAUGUAUGUGCUUGCACUGUUUUUAUUGCUGGAAGGACAGGUUAGGCGUGUUUUACCUGGACAUCUUUGCCAUCCGUUGACGGGGGUCGUGUUGGAGCUCUGAUGUAAAGCGUGUGAGGUGGGUGCAACUGAUGUGUCCUCAAUACAACAAUGUUGUUAUGGUUAGCCUAAUGGGUUGUAGUUGGUUUGCUGCAACUUUUUUUUUGUUUUAGUGAUGUUAUAGUUGGGUUUGAGUUUGUUCUUUUCAGGCUGUUUGGGUGGUGUUGAUUGAUAAAGUCUGUUGUUGCUUUUCAUCAGGCCCAGAGUUGGCUCCUAUUGGUAUGUUGUUUCAUGCCGUUUCUGCAAGCUUACUCAAUUUUUUUUUCUGGUUGGUUCUGCAUGUUAGUCAUAAGUCAGUGAAGCAUCUAAGGGGAAGUGUUGGAGUUCCGGUGCUGCGGUUAUCAUGACCUGCGUUUACUUUGUAGUUCAUAUGUUUUGUUCUUUGUUGAAUUUGAUUUUGUAGGACUCAAGUUUUUUGGAUUGGUUCUGUUGGUUGAUUCGGUAAUCCCUCCUAGGCCCCAUGUGUACAUAUAAUUUUUUUUGUUACGUAUUAAUACAACGGUUUUUUCAUGAAAUGCCCCUGAGGUUUCACGAAAUUCACCAAAUA